GACGAACGCUGGCGGCGUGCUUAAUACAUGCAAGUCGAGCGAACAGACGAGGAGCUUGCUCCUCUGCCGUUAGCGGCGGACGGGUGAGUAACACGUGGAUAACCUCUCUAUACGACUGGGAUAACUCCGGGAAACCGGAGCUCAUACCGGAGAAUUUAUUGAACCGCAUGGUUAAAUAGUGGAAGACGGUUUUGCUGUCACUUAUAGAUGGUUCCGCGCCGCAUUAGCGAGUUGGUACGGUAACGGCUUACCAUGGCGACGAUGCGUAGCCGACCUGAGAGGGGGGGCGGCAACACUGGAACUGGGCCGCGGUCCAGACUCCUACGGGAGGCAGCAGUAGGGUAGCUUCCGCAGUAGGCGAAGGCCUAACGGGACAAAGCCACGUGGGGGAUGAAGGUCUUCGGAUCGUAAAGCUCUCUUAUUAGGGAAGAGCAAAUGUGUAGGUAACUGUGCGCGGCUUGACGGUACCUGGUCAGAAAGCCCCGGCUAACUACGUG
rnacentral:rRNA from 1 species